UACGAAGGGGGCUAGCGUUGUUCGGAAUUACUGGGCGUAAAGCGCACGCAGGCGGAUUGAUAAGUCAGGGGUGAAAUCCCGGGGCUCAACCUCGGAAUUGCCUUUGAUACUGUCAAUCUCGAGUCCGGGAGAGGUGAGUGGAAUUCCUAGUGUAGAGGUGAAAUUCGUAGAUAUUAGGAAGAACACCAGUGGCGAAGGCGGCUCACUGGCCCGGUACUGACGCUCAGGUGCGAAAGCGUGGGGAGCAAAC
rnacentral:rRNA from 1 species